CUAGCUUCGGUGGAGCCGUCGUUGAGAUACCACCCUGAUCGUGCGGCAGUUCUAACCUACGCCCGUGAUCCGGGCCGGGGACCGUGUCAGGGGGGUAGUUUGACUGGGGCGGUCGCCUCCUAAACAGUAACGGAGGCGCUCAAAGGUCAGCUCAGCACGGUUGGAAAUCGUGCGUCGAGUGCAAGGGCAGAAGCUGGCCUAACUGCGAGACCUACAAGUCGAGCAGGUGCGAAAGCAGGACCUAGUGAUCCGGUGGUUCCGAGUGGAAGGGCCAUCGCUCAACGGAUAAAAGGUACUCCGGGGAUAACAGUCUGAUCUUGCCCAAGAGUUCACAUCGACGGCAAGGUUUGGCACCUCGAUGUCGGCUCAUCGCAUCCUGGGGCUGGAGCAGGUCCCAAGGGUUGGGCUGUUCGCCCAUUAAAGCGGUACGUGAGCUGGGUUUAGAACGUCGUGAGACAGUUCGGUCCCUAUCUGUCGCGGGCGUAGGAGGUUUGAGGGGAGCUGCCCCUAGUACGAGAGGACCGGGGUGGACGGACCUCUAGUGUGCGAGCUGUUCCGCCAGGAGCACCGCUCGGUAGCUAUGUCCGGCAGGGAUAAGCGCUGAAGGCAUCUAAGCGCGAAACCCGCCUCAAGAUGAGACCUCCCAGGGCGUAAGCCCUCUGAAGGCCCCUGGAAGAUUACCAGGUUGAUAGGCCGCAGGUGUAAGCGCCGUAAGGCGUUCAGCUUAGCGGUACUAAUCGGCCGUGCGGCUUGACCAC
rnacentral:rRNA from 1 species